UACAGAGGGUGCGAGCGUUGUCCGGAAUCACUGGGCGUAAAGGGCGCGUAGGCGGCCUGAUAAGUCGGGGGUGAAAUCCUGUGGCUCAACCACAGGGCUGCCUCCGGGACUGUCGGGCUCGAGCACAGUAGAGGCAGGUGGAAUUCCCGGAGUAGCGGUGGAAUGCGUAGAGAUCGGGAAGAACAUCGGUGGCGAAGGCGGCCUGCUGGGCUGUUGCUGACGCUGAGGCGCGACAGCGUGGGGAGCAAACAGG
rnacentral:rRNA from 1 species